rnacentral:lncRNA from 1 species
GGCCAGGAACGGAAGGCAUCUUUCCAUAGAUCUAGGGAGAAAUUUUCGGCUCUAAAAGGGACUCUGUUUGUCUCUGCAUUUAUCAGAUCGGUGGGAUCUGGGUUUCCUAGCGGGUCGAGACAUUGGAGGUGAGGUUGAUCGGUAGGAAUUACAAUCUUAUCGGCCAAAUCCUAGAGAUUUUUUAGGAUAAAAGAAAGAAUAAAAAGAAAGAGGAGUAUUUAGUAAAAGGAAUUGCAGAUGAACAGAAA